rnacentral:rRNA from 1 species
AGCGUCGGAUAUGAGUAGUGGAGGUAGAGCACUGAAUGGGCUAGGGGGCAUAGCGCUUACCGAACCUUAUCAAACUCCGAAUGCCACAUACUUUGAGCUCGGCAGUCAGACUACGAAUGAUAAGAUCCGUGGUCAAAAGGGAAACAGCCCAGAUCGUCAGCUAAGGUCCCAAAGUGUAAGUUAAGUGGAAAAGGAUGUGGGAUUUCUAAGACAACUAGGAUGUUGGCUUAGAAGCAGCCACUCAUUAAAAGAGUGCGUAAUAGCUCACUAGUCGAGAGAUCCUGCGCCGAAGAUGUCCGGGGCUCAAACUUACCACCGAAGCUACGGGCUUGCGUAAGCAAGCGGUAGGGGAGCGUCGUAAUCGGGCUGAAGUCGUACCGUAAGGAGCGGUGGACUGAUUACGAGUGAGAAUGUUGGCAUUAGUAGCGAGAUGUGGGUGAGAAUCCCACAGGCCGAAUAUCUAAGGUUUCCUCAGGAAGGUUCGUCCGCUGAGGGUUAGUCGGGACCUAAGCCGAGGCCGAAAGGCGUAGGCGAUGGACAAUCGGUUGAUAUUCCGAUACCACUACUGAUCGUUAUUAUCGAUGGUGUGACGGAGAAGGAUAGAGUGUGCUAGCUAUUGGAUGCUAGUCUAAGCGUUUAGGGAGUUAGGAAAGGCAAAUCCGUCCUAACAAUUCUGAGGCGUGAUGGGGAAGGUUCUACGGAACCGAAGUACUUGAUUCCAUGCUUCCAAGAAAAGCAUCUAGAGAGAGAUGUAGUGCCCGUACCGCAAACCGACACAGGUAGAUGAGGAGAGAAUCCUAAGGCCGGCGGAAGAAUCACAGUUAAGGAACUAGGCAAAUUGACCCCGUAACUUAGGGAGAAGGGGUGCCUGUGAGAGCAGGCCGCAGAGAAUAGGCCCAAGCAACUGUUUAGCAAAAACACAGGUCUCUGCUAAAGCGAAAGCUGAUGUAUAGGGGCUGACGCCUGCCCGGUGCUGGAAGGUUAAGGGGAACACUUAGCGCAAGCGAAGGUGUGAACUUAAGCCCCAGUAAACGGCGGCCGUAACUAUAACGGUCCUAAGGUAGCGAAAUUCCUUGUCAGGUAAGUUCUGACCCGCACGAAUGGCGUAAUGACUUGGGCACUGUCUCAACUGUGAAUCCGGCGAAGUUGUAGUGCGAGUGAAGAUGCUCGCUACCCGCGAUUGGACGGAAAGACCCCGUAGAGCUUUACUGUAGCUUAGCAUUGAAUUUCGGUAUUGUCUGUACAGGAUAGGUGGGAGACUGGGAAAUCAGGGCGUCAGCCUUGAUGGAGUCGUCCUUGGGAUACCACCCUGACAGUACUGAGGUUCUAACUGGAUGCCAUGAAUCUGGUGACAGGACAUUGUUAGGUGGGCAGUUUGACUGGGGCGGUCGCCUCCUAAAAGGUAACGGAGGCGCCCAAAGGUUCCCUCAGAAUGGUUGGAAAUCAUUCGCAGAGUGUAAAGGUAUAAGGGAGCUUGACUGCGAGAGCUACAACUCGAGCAGGGACGAAAGUCGGGCUUAGUGAUCCGGUGGUUCUGAAUGGAAGGGCCAUCGCUCAACGGAUAAAAGCUACCCUGGGGAUAACAGGCUUAUCUCCCCCAAGAGUCCACAUCGACGGGGAGGUUUGGCACCUCGAUGUCGGCUCAUCACAUCCUGGGGCUGUAGUAGGUCCCAAGGGUUGGGCUGUUCGCCCAUUAAAGCGGCACGCGAGCUGGGUUCAGAACGUCGUGAGACAGUUCGGUCCCUAUCCGUCGCGGGCGUAGGAAAUUUGAGAGGA